GUUUUCUUGUGUGCCUUGCUGGUUCGUCUGUGUGGUUCCCCUGCAUCUGUCUAUGUCUCCCUGCUUCCCUGUUUGUGUCUCAAGGUUUCAGGUUUGUUUUACUCUUAGUUUUCCCAGUUUAGGUUUUGUCAUUUCUGUUCUUGCCACCCUCGCCUUUUGUUGUAUGUCAUCCUCCUCAACAAAGCUCACUCACAUCAGCAGUGCGUCCUUUAAUAAUUCCCACACGGCUUGCCUCACAAACUGUGACAACGCUACGUCCACAUGAACUGAAUCAACUUUUUGGGAUCCUGACUGUCUAAUUUAAAAUCCACUGUGGGGAUGUACGGGAGCAAAAACAAGUCACUGUGUAUAUUCUUAUGGACCUGACUUUACAUCCAGCUUUAACUUACAAACUACACCCUCCUUACCACAGCUCAGCUGUAGGACACUGAGGACGUUAAAGGUGAUCACUCUGCCUGUGGAUAUGGCCGUCACAUUGGAAGUGUGCUGCUGAGUCCGGAGCAGAGCAUGGUGUUAGAGCUGGUUUUCAGUGAAGAGCUGAGCUGAUGCUGGAUCAGAGACCUGGUGUCUUCACAGUGUCUGGGUCAGAAAUGUUACCUACAUGCAAAAGAGGCACGCAGUGGAAAAAGGAGGAUGUCUUCCUUAUCAGACGCAAACAUUCAAAUGAGGAAAUAAAAAUAAAAUAAACAAAGAUAUUACAGGCGUC